GCAGCACCAGAGGCACUCCAGUUGGCCAGCUACUGGUCAAAGGACAUUUAGUAUAAUGCCAAGCUUUUAAACGUUGUGUUUUUAAAUACAUUACAACUAUACCCUCAGUUCACUUCUGAUACGAUAAAAAAGUAAUUGUUUUGCUUUGUAUGGAUAGCUUUGCAAAUCCUUAAUUUUAAUAAUUGUUACUGUUAAUAAAGGUGGGGUUUUCAAUUUUAUAAAUUGAAUUAUAUGACAGAGAGGGAAAGGUAAGGGAGAAUAAAAUUAAACAAUGGCUUGGGCAAGAAAACUGGUUACAGAUAAGAGCAAUCUGUGCAUAUUGCAAAACAAAAGAAAAUAUCAAUAUGGUUAAGAGAGAAGAUACCGCCUUUGAAAAGAUAAUAAGAGAAAAAGGGGAAGGAAAGAAGGCACAGGCCAGCAAAAUAUAUACAAUGCUAAUAGAGGCCGAUGGAUGUACAAUACAGGACUUGAAAACUAUGUGGGAAACGGAGUUACAAAUCUCGGAACAAGAAAUGAGAAAUGUGGAGGAAAAUAUUGCACAAAUGGUAUCGCACACCCUGCCAAUUAGCAUACUACUAUAAAGAGGGGAGUAGUCAGUGCUGGCAUGGAUGCCACCAGAAAGGGCACUUUAUGCACAUGAUGUGGGAAUGUGAAUAUGUACAAGAUUUUUGGCAGACUAUACAAAAUGUGUCAAAUCAAAUAUUAGGAAAUGAGUGGGUCAUAACAAAGGAAUUAGCGGUAUUAGGGAAAAGAGAGGAAAUGGGAAAUAAAAGGGAAAUAAAAGAAGCAAUAAUUGAAUGUGCACAAGCAGUAAUAGUAUUAGGGUGGAAAGAUAAAUCAAAAUGGACAAUAAAUAAAUGGUACCAUUAUAUGGUGGAGCAAAUGGAAUUUGAAAUUAUGAAUGUGAAAUUAAAUGAUUUAAAAAUCAAUGAAAAUCGAAUGAGAGAAAUGGAAGAUAGAUGGACAAGGGUAAUGAACUAUAUUAUGAAUCAUUCUGGAGAUCAGGUCAUAAGAAAUAAGAUACAAAUGCUAUAUAGCAUACAGGA